UUGCUUUCUUUGCUGACGAGUGGCGGACGGGUGAGUAAUGCUUGGGUAUCUGGCUUAUGGAGGGGGAUAACUACGGGAAACUGUAGCUAAUACCGCGUAGUAUCGGAAGAUGAAAGUGUGGGACCGUAAGGCCACAUGCCAUAGGAUGAGCCCAAGUGGGAUUAGGUAGUUGGUGAGGUAAUGGCUCACCAAGCCGACGAUCUCUAGCUGGUCUGAGAGGAUGACCAGCCACACCGGGACUGAGACACGGCCCGGACUCCUACGGGAGGCAGCAGUGGGGAAUAUUGCGCAAUGGGGGCAACCCUGACGCAGCCAUGCCGCGUGAAUGAAGAAGGCCUUCGGGUUGUAAAUUUCUUUCGGUAGCGAGGAAGGCAUUUAGUU
rnacentral:rRNA from 1 species